UACAGAGGGUGCGAGCGUUGUUCGGAAUUAUUGGGCGUAAAGAGCUCGUAGGCGGUGUGUCACGUCGGCCGUGAAAACCUGCAGCUUAACUGUGGGCGUGCGGGCGAUACGGGCAGACUGGAGUACUGCAGGGGAGACUGGAAUUCCUGGUGUAGCGGUGGAAUGCGCAGAUAUCAGGAGGAACACCGGUGGCGAAGGCGGUUCUCUGGGCAUGUCCUGACGCUGAGGAGCGAAAGUGUGGGGAGCGAACAGG
rnacentral:rRNA from 1 species